UGGGAGAGUGAGUGGUUUUCCUUUUGGUAAACCAUAUAAAUGUGUGUUUUAUGUAUAUUCUUUAUAUGUUUUUGUCCUGUUUCAGUCAUGGAGCUUUCACCAUCAUCCCACCGAACCAGAACAAGAGAAAAGAAAUACAGAGAAAGGCGGAGGCGGAGCUUGCUGCUCUGGAGGAGCUGAGACUGCCAUGAGUUAUGUUUCUGUGACGCCCAGCUGUGUUGGCAAUCACAGCAUGGCUGCAUGACUCUGGAGGAAGUGCGUCUGGAGCAGCAGGAAAUGAUGUGAGCGAAGAGGAAACACAAACCGGUCUGAUGGCAUUUGCGUGAUAUUAUACACGUCUACAAAAGACUGUCAUUGUCUCGUGUCUCAUAAUUUACAUCUGUAACCAAAAGUACUCCUGUUUCGUGAACCAUUUAUUCCCCAACAUUUAACUGAAACUGAAGUUUGUAAACCACUCAUUCUCCCACACCAAAGCCCAUAAA